rnacentral:rRNA from 1 species
UAAGGAAUAUUGCUCAAUGGGGGAAACCCUGAAGCAGCAACGCCGUGUGAGGGAUGAAGGGCUUUUGCUUGUAAACCUCUGUAGUGAGGGAAAAAACUUCCACUCUGUGGAAUAUGAUGGUACCUCAAAAGUAAGCCCCGGCUAACUACGUGCCAGCAGCCGCGGUAAUACGUAGGGGGCAAACGUUGUCCGGAUUUACUGGGUGUAAAGGGUGCUCAGGCGGUUUUGUAAGUCAGAAGUGAAAUCCUAGGGCUUAACUCUGGAACUGCUUUUGAUACUGCAAGGCUUGAAUGUGGAAGAGGAGGAUGGAAUUUCUGGUGUAGCAGUGAAAUGCGUAGAUAUCAGAAAGAACACCAGUGGCGAAGGCGGUCCUCUGGUCCACUAUUGACGCUAAAGCACGAAAGCGUGGGGAGCAAACAGG